GCAAACUUGGUCAUUUAGAGGAAGUAAAAGUCGUAACAAGGUUUCCGUAGGUGAACCUGCGGAAGGAUCAUUAACGAAUAUCUAUGGCGUUGGUUGUAGCUGGCUCCUAGGAGCAUUGUGCACGCCCGUCAUUCAUAUCAUCUUUCCACCUGUGAACUAUGUGUAGGCUUGGAUACCUCUCGCUUUGGUGACAAAGCGGAUGCAAGGAUUGCUGCGUCGACAAGGCCAGCUCUCUUUGAAUUUCCAGGUCUAUGUUUUUUACACACCCCAUUUGAAUGAUGUAGAAUGUAGUCAAUGGGCUUUCAUGCCUAUAAAACACUAUACAACUUUCAGCAACGGAUCUCUUGGCUCUCGCAUCGAUGAAGAACGCAGC
rnacentral:misc_RNA from 1 species